GACGAACGCUGGCGGCGUGCCUAACACAUGCAAGUCGAACGGGAUUUACCGGAACAAGUUAUUCGUAACGAGGGAAGGUAGGUUUAGUGGCGGACGGGUGAGUAACGCGUGAGCAAUCUGCCUUUCAGAGGGGGAUAACACAGGGAAACUUGUGCUAAUACCGCAUGAUGCACUGUUGUCGCAUAAUGAUGGUGUCAAAGAUUUAUCGCCGAAGGAUGGGCUCGCGUCUGAUUAGCUAGUUGGUGGUGUAAUGGACCACCAAGGCGACGAUCAGUAGCCGGACUGAGAGGUUGGCCGGCCACAUUGGGACUGAGAUACGGCCCAGACUCCUACGGGAGGCAGCAGUAGAGAAUAUUGGGCAAUGGGGGCAACCCUGACCCAGCAACGCCGCGUGAAGGAAGAAGGCUUUCGGGUUGUAAACUUCUUUGACGAGGGACGAAACAAAUGACGGUACCUCGAAAACAAGCCACGGCUAACUACGUGCCAGCAGCCGCGGUAAUACGUAGGUGGCAAGCGUUGAUCGGAUUUACUGGGUGUAAAGGGCGCGUAGGCGGGUAUUCAAGUCAGAUGUGUAAUCUAUGGGCUUAACCCAUAAACUGCAUUUGAAACUGUUUACCUUGAGUGAUGGAGAGGAAUUGACGGGACCCCGCACAAGCAGUGGAUUAUGUGGUUUAAUUCGAUGCUACACGAAGAACCUUACCAGGGCUUGACAUGGAGAUGACCGCCGUAGAGAUACGGUUUCCCCUUCGGGGGCAUCUCACACAGGUGGCGCAUGGUUGUCGUCAGCUCGUGUCGUGAGAUGUUGGGUUAAGUCCCGCAACGAGCGCAACCCCUGUUGCUAGUUGCUACGCGAGAGCACUCUAGCGAGACUGCCGUUGAUAAAACGGAGGAAGGAGGGGACGAUGUCAAAUCAUCAUGCCCUUUAUGUCCUGGGCUACACACGUAAUACAAUGGCGUUUAACAAUGGGAAGCGAAGCCGCGAGGCGGAGCAAAUCCCCAAAAGGCGCCUCAGUUCGGAUCGCAGGCUGCAACCCGCCUGCGUGAAGUCGGAAUUGCUAGUAAUCGCGGAUCAGCUAGCCGCGGUGAAUACGUUCCCGGGGUUUGUACACACCGCCCGUCACACCAUGAGAGCCGGGGACACCCGAAGCCCGUAGCCUAACCUUUUUAUAUUGGAGGGCGCGGUCGAAGGUGGAUUUGGUAAUUGGGGUG
rnacentral:rRNA from 1 species